UACGUAGGGGGCAAGCGUUGUCCGGAAUCAUUGGGCGUAAAGCGCGUGUAGGCGGCCCGAAAAGUCUGGUGUGAAAUCCUGGGGCUCAACCCCAGGGUGUCACUGGAUACUGUCGGGCUUGAGUCCGGAAGAGGAGAGUGGAAUUCCUGGUGUAGCGGUGAAAUGCGUAGAUAUCGGAAGGAACAUCAGUGGCGAAAGCGACUUCCUGGACCAAUACUGACGCUCAUGUGCGAAAGCGUGGGGAGCAAACAGG
rnacentral:rRNA from 1 species